UAUAGAGACAUGGAAUUAUUCUUCAAAAAAAUUCACUUUAAUUUUAAUUAUGGAUGAUGCCCAAUUUGGAUUAGAAAAGCUUAUGAGUAUUCAUUUGCUUGAAAAUUGUAAAACACUGAAAUAAAAAUGAAGAGCCUCAGGUUUUCUUAAAUUUAUCUCUCAAUUUUUUGAAUUAUAUGAUGAAUUUUUUUGUAUAUAUUCAUCUUGGUCUAAGUUCACUAUAAUAUUAAGGUUGAUUAAAAUCUGAAUUUAGAUGAAUUUUAAGAGAUGAUUUUAGUAAAGAGGGUCUAUAGUCAUGGCAAUUU
rnacentral:lncRNA from 1 species